AACGAACGCUGGCGGCAUGCCUAACACAUGCAAGUCGAACGAGAUCUUCGGGUCUAGUGGCGCACGGGUGCGUAACGCGUGGGAAUCUGCCCUUUGGUUCGGAAUAACAGUUGGAAACGACUGCUAAUACCGGAUGAUGACGAAAGUCCAAAGAUUUAUCGCUCGAGGAUGAGCGCGCGUAGGAUUAGCUAGUUGGUGUGGUAAAGGCGCACCAAGGCGACGAUCCUUAGCUGGUCUGAGAGGAUGAUCAGCCACACUGGGACUGAGACACGGCCCAGACUCCUACGGGAGGCAGCAGUGGGGAAUAUUGGAAAAUGGGCGAAAGCCUGAUCCAGCAAUGCCGCGUGAGUGAUGAAGGCCUUAGGGUUGUAAAGCUCUUUUACCCGGGAUGAUAAUGACAGUACCGGGAGAAUAAGCUCCGGCUAACUCCGUGCCAGCAGCCGCCGUAAUAC
rnacentral:rRNA from 1 species